AAAAGUAAUGUUUAAAUAUAUAAAUAAAGGUUUUGCAAUAGCUUUUCACCCACUUUUGUCUGACAGAUUAAAUGGUGUGGUAAGAAUGAAACAGCCUUUAUUUGUCACAUAUACAUUACAGCACAGUGAAAUUCUUUCUUCGCAUAUCCCAUCCUUGGAGGUUGGGGUCAGAGCGCAGGGUCAGCCAUGAUACGGUGCCCCUGGAGCAGAGAGGGUUAAGGGCCUUGCUCAAGGGCCCAACAGUGGCAACUUGGCGGUGCUGGGGCUUGAAUCCCUGAUCUUCUGGUCAACGACCCAGAGCCUUAACCACUUGAGCCACCACUGCCCUCAAACCCGGAAGGUGCAGGGACAACAGCUGGUGAGGAGGUGGAGCAAGUCAACAGCCACCUCUCUCGAUGUGGUUUGACAACUAAAUAUAUGUCAAAAGCAGGUGAUUGUGUUUGCUGUAUUCUGUCAUACUUAAAAAGAAAUUGCCCAUCAUAUAACCUAUUUUGCUGUUUACAACAGCACGAGUGGAUAUGCUUACCCUGCAUGCAGUGGGGUGGAACCAGAAGAAAAGCCUCUCUCUGCACAUUACACUUUCCACAAGAUAUGUUAAGACAUGUCAGAGGCUCCAGGAUGAGACUGAAAGAACAGCAAAACUAAAAACAGAACUACAGUGCUCUGAUGAAAUGCUGUCACAGUGGAUAUCAGAUGUGAAGGAAUGGGCAGCUGGUGGUACACCAGAUACCACUCAAAGCACAACACCCACAGAACUUCACCAAUCAAUUGAGGCGCUUUAUCUUAGUGUGAGGCAGCAGAAGCAAACCCUCUACCGUCAGAAUGACAGCAGCAAGAUUCGCCACCCCCUUCGAAGAAAAUUGGCAGAGGACAAAAAACUCCUUCUUGAGGAGAUUUAUAAAUACAACAGUGUUGUUGAGUCCACCAAAGCCAUUGAUUUUGCUAUGAUGGAGCAGUCCCUGACUGGAGAGAGCAACCCAAUGUGACCGUGGGAGGUUCAUGUCAGUGCAAAACUUGCAGUCAAGAAAAAGAUGCACGAUCAAGUCAUGUUAAUGUUGUGACUGCAAGAAGAAAAGAGCAUUUUGGUGUUGGAGAUGGUGCGACACUGCACAUGGUUGCAGAACCUUGUAGUUGUUCUUAAGAAGAAGGUUGCUGAAGAGGAUGCAGAGAAAGAAAACAAAGGACUUUGCUGUUUGUUAAGACGGAAACUUUCAGAGGUAUCUGAGAGGUUGCAAGCUGUCUUCCACCAGUACAAGACUGCUUUAGGUCCUGAGGACUCUGUCCUACAGUUUGAAGAAGAACAUCAGACUGACCUUAGCAGUCCAGAAUCCAGUGAGGAUGAAGAGGCAAACACACUUGAGAUUUAAUCUGCACAAAAGCUUUGCCUGUUGCCAUUGGCCACGUGAGAUGCUUUACCUGAACCCAGCAUACUGUAAAUGUCGUGGAUAGAAUUUCACAUAAUUGUCCUGAGAAUUGUCCUGCUUCCAUACAGCAGUUAUUAAGCAAAAUGCCAAGUUGAAUCUUGUUAAUUUGAGUGACUUCAUGAUUUCUAGCACCAUGAAUUACUCAUUUUUGUUCAUCUUGCUUUAAAUGACCGGUGUUCUUCACUGAUCUAUUUGCAUAAUUGAAGAUAUUGUAAGAAUAGCUCUAUCAACA